GUUUAUAUUUUAGCUGCUUUCAGGACUUACUCUAGAUCUUAGUCAUUGGAGUUUUAAUAUUGAAAAGGACAUAGGAAAUGACUCUUAUAGCAUAUGGAGGCAAAAGCUGGAAUUGAGUCCCCUACUGAAAACCCAGAGCUUACAAGUACUGUCCUGGCCCUAUUAGGAGAGUAGGAAAAUGCCACACACCAGUAUGGAUAAGAAGAAAUACAGUUCAUCUUUGUCAAAAGAUUUUGUAAAAAAAAAAAAAAAAAGGAGGGAGAAGGAAAAGGAAGAGGAGGAAGAGGAAGAAAAAAGAAGGCAAGAAUGCUUCGAGGAGAAAUGAAAAUUCCAGUUACAAUGUGAGCCUGGGGUUGUCUUAUUCCAAAGCUCUUGUUCUUUGCUUUGGUUUAUGCUGACUUUCCUUUCUCUGAAUUGUCUUGAUAUUUAUGUAGACUAGAGGUUUUCUCUUGAAUUCAGAACCAAACUUAGAACUCUUUACAUACAAACUAUUCUUACAUUUAUGCCUAUCACUCUCCUAGCCUUGUUAAACUCUUUUUUCUUGGGGAUGGGGGAGGGUAAAGAUGUGAUAUAUCUCCUAUUUUUUCCGCAAUUAUUUUCUAGCAUAGAUCUCAAAGUUCUGUAAACUAUUGUACCUCAUACUAAAGCAGUGAAAAUUUCAGCCCCCCACCUCAAAGCUAAAUUAAGCCAGAGACUGAAUCUCAUUAUGUCACAAUGUAUGUUCCAGAGCAGAAUUUCUUUGAUUCUCUCUAAAAUUACACUUGAGCUAAAAGGCAUCAUUGCAAUCACAAAAUCUCCUAUCCUGGAGAAAGCUACAAUCUGAGAAAGGAUGCAGGUGUCCUUAGGUUGACUAGGGCUCUCAGGACUGGACGAAGAACAGCUGAUCUUGGCUCUGGGCUACAGGUUGGCUGCAGGUCCACUCUAUAUGGCUCUCCAUUCUCCUUGAAACGGGAGAUACCUAAGGAAUAUUCUUCUCUUGGUGACUGGCAGGAGUGCAAGAGAACCAAACUGAACCAUUCAAGUAGGUGGAAAGCUUUUGUUCUCAUUCAGUCCACUAACAGACCAUUGACCAAAACAAGUCCCAUAGCCAAUGCCAACAUAAUUUUGGAAUGAAGUAUCCUCUGCCAUAAUGGGACUGGAGGAUCACAGUGCCUAGUUAUACAAUAGAGGGUAUGGAUAUAUAAUUCUGAUAUAUAAUCCCUACUGAGGUAGAUAAAUUCUCCUGAUUUUUUGUGAGUUCUUUUUUUAUACCCUUGAAUUCUCUUACCACUGUUAGUUGUUGAAACUUGUAGGUUUCCAAAGGCAGGUAAUUUUAUAGUUUGUAUGUAAUGAAAGUUUAACAUCUGCCCUGUCCUGCUUUUACCUAUUCUUUCUCUCUUUUCCUAUCCUGUUAUCCAGGAUCCACUCUGUUGAACAACAGCAGUGAUAGUAGGCAACCAUGUCAUUCCACAUCUUAGAGGGAAGAGAUAUGUUUUCCUAUUAAAUAUAACAUUUACUGUAGGUUUUUUGUAUGUAAUCUUAUCAAGUUAAGGAAGUCCUUAACUAAGCCCUUAACUACAGAAGCCCUCCAUUCUUAGUUUUCUGAGUUUUAAUCAUAGUUCUUGAAUUUUAGAAAUAUUUUCUAUCCAUUGACAUGAUUUUUCUUACAUGGUUGUUAAUAUAGUGAGUUACAUUGGUAGUAAUUCUGAUGAUCUUCAAUUCCUGUUUGAAAUGUAUUAAUUUUUAAAUACCCUGAAAGAUCCAGUUAACAUUUUAAGGAUUGUUUCAUGUAUUUUUAAAUUAAGUAUAAUUGAUACACAAUGUUACAUCAGCUUCAGGUGUACAACUUAAUGAUUUGACAAGUCGAUAUGUUAUACAUAGAUACCAUCUGUCUCAUUACAUUGCUGUUAGAAUAUCAUUGACUGUAUUC
rnacentral:lncRNA from 12 species